UGCCGCUGUGGCGUUGGUGCUGCCGCGUUGCUCUCACGGUCAAACAGACUACUCGCUUCAGUAAUCCGGAGAAACGAAGUUAAAGCAUGUCGGCCGUAACCUGAUGCAAAUAGCUAUUGUCAUUGCGCGCCGGACCGAACAAGUGAACUCGCUUCAGUCGCUAAUUCUCUUUGUGGCACUGCUCUGCUCCGUUGUACUCGUCUAUCAAAAACCGAAAUUCGAUCGGACAAUAGAAAACAGAAAGUUCAACUGUUUGCAGUGCCUACUUUGUAUAAAUGCUAUCGAUGGUUCCUAACCGCUAGUCUGCCCUAAGAUUCUUCCGCCGGGCAUCUUGCCAGGUAAGAAUCUCUGCCCCGACCGCAGUGUUUCGAGCUGCUUGAUAUGUUUAAUCUGUUCGAUUUACGAGAAUGGUGACAGACGAACGGUAAUGAUAAGUUAAUUUGAACCGAGCGUCAAAAAAAUUUGCAGCCGGUCGCCAAUCCUGCGGCGAAAGCGAUCGCGUGUAUAGAUUUGAAAUGCAGAUGGGAUCGCUGCUGGUGAGGAACGUGAAAAGGUAGAGUUGUGCAUCCAUGAAAAAAAGCAAAUCUGCCACGUUCUAUUUGGUAAUUGAUCGCCUGUCAUUAAUUAACUGGUUAUAUAAUCCUGCCUUAACACACGUCAUAUCUACAAAAUCCUAUCUAACGGUGGUUUUUCUUAUUCUGCUUCUGUGAGAAUCUGUCAUUCCCUAAAUUCUUUGGGUACGCUAUAGGCUCACAUGGAAAUCGAGAUGCUGCUUCUUGUCUAUGUAGUAAGUACCGUUACACAGUAUCUGUAAGACGUUUAACUACAUUUACCGCCGUUUUGUGCCCGCUUUUCAAAAUAAACGUUUCUACAUGUCAAGCAGAUAGCGACGGGUGGACGAGAUGAGACGGAAGCAAUCGAAGUUGCCAGUUGUGGCUAUCUAUGUAUGUAGGUCUAAAUUUAAAUGAAAACUCAAGGCGAGCCGGGAAAAAUGCAUUCGUGACGCGUGUUUACUAUGCGCAUUGAUCGAGAUCGUUUACCACGCUUGGUUAGCUAAGCACAACUCUCUGCGGAUUUAUCGUUGAUUGACAAAGGAAGCAGUGUAAAUACUUUGUUUAUAAUUGAUAACGCGACUGAUCUACCACACGCGUGUGUAUGUGUGUGUGUAUACCAAGACAAACAAAGCUUUUCAGCAGCAACAGAGCACAGGCGUCGUGUCUAUGUGAUCUAAUCGAAGAAGAAGCAAGAACAUAACGGGCUGUAUGGAGAUUCAUCAGAAGAAACAGCCUACAAAGGGUUGUAAAGACACUUAUCUGCACAGUAGAUGUAUCAUUUCAAAUUGACGCGAACGACUCAUACAUUUCAGAGAAUGAGGAUACAUGUCGAUUUCAACAUGGAUGAUCUUGGAGGGCUUCCAUGCCUGAUCAAAAAAAUUAGAUUUAAAUCAGUCUAUAUAUGUAGAGAUGUAUGCGAUCUGAAAACGAGAAGCGCAGCUAUGAUCUUCGCAGGCUCUUCGUAUAUCUGUAAAAAGUAACUGCUUUUCUAUUUAGAAGAAAUCAUGGAAUCAUAUUUCAAAUACUCUGAUCGUCCGGCGGAAAUGGCUAAGCUCUCAAGUCGCAGAGCAAAUCGGAUACUGAGCAGUUUUCAGACCAAAAACUUAAAAAGAGACCACCUAACCGAGACAGGGUUCGGAAUUGUUGUACAAUAUGCAGAGUAAAUUCGUGUGUCACAUAGCACCAAAAUGGAUACCGUGAUAACCGCGGUACACCAAUUUCAAGCUUUUUUUUUUUUCUAUCAAUACGAUGACAGUGUCCUUGCAAUUAUGCAUUCAGGAGAAACGACCAUUCCUACUAGAUAUUCAGUAGUCUAUUCAAUAAGCUCUCAUGUAAGUUGGUCAACGUUGAGAUGAUUAUUAGAACGAGAAAAAAUGACCAUCGUGAA